UACGUAGGGGCCUAGCGUUGUCCGGAAUUAUUGGGCGUAAAGAGCGUGUAGGCGGCCGUACAGGUCAGCUGUGAAAACUCGAGGCUCAACCUCGAGACGUCGGUUGAAACCGUACGGCUAGAGUCCGGAAGAGGAGAGUGGAAUUCCCGGUGUAGCGGUGAAAUGCGCAGAUAUCGGGAAGAACACCCGUGGCGAAGGCGGCUCUCUGGGACGGUACUGACGCUGAGACGCGAAAGCGUGGGGAGCGAACAGG
rnacentral:rRNA from 1 species